ensembl:snRNA U4 U4 spliceosomal RNA
AGCUUUGUGCCGUGGCAGUAUCGUAGCCAAUGAGGUUUAUCCGAGGCGCGAUUAUUGCUAAUUAAAAGAGUCUAGAAACCUUGUAACAGUGGGUAAGAUGGCAUCUAUCCUUUGCCAGGGGUGGAAGACAGCAACGAUAGGAGGGAUACAUUUGGAAAUGUAAUUUAUA